rnacentral:rRNA from 1 species
UAACCUGCCCAAGAGACUGGGAUAACACCUGGAAACAGAUGCUAAUACCGGAUAACAACACUAGACGCAUGUCUAGAGUUUAAAAGAUGGUUCUGCUAUCACUCUUGGAUGGACCUGCGGUGCAUUAGCUAGUUGGUAAGGUAACGGCUUACAAAGGCAAUGAUGCAUAGCCGAGUUGAGAGACUGAUCGGCCACAUUGGGACUGAGACACGGCCCAAACUCCUACGGGAGGCAGCAGCG